GAUGAACGCUGGCGGCGUGCCUAAUACAUGCAAGUCGAGCGAACACACGAGGAGCUUGCUCCUCUGACGUUAGCGGCGGACGGGUGAGUAACACGUGGAUAACCUACCUAUAAGACUGGGAUAACUUCGGGAAACCGGAGCUAAUACCGCAUAAUAUAUUAAACCGCAUGGUUCAAUAGUGAAAGACGGUUUUGCUGUCACUUAUAGCUGGAUCCGCGCCGCAUUAGUUAUUUGGUAAGGUAACGGCUUACCAAGGCAACGAUGCGUAGCCGACCUGAUAGGGUGAUCGGCAAACCUGGACCUGAGACACGGUCCAGACCCCUACGGGAGGAACCAGUAGGAAACUUCGGGCAUUGGGCGAAAGCCUGCCGGAGAAAGGCGCGGUGGUGGAUGAAGGUUUCCGGAUGGUAAACUCCUUUUUAUGGGAAAGAACAGAUGUAGAAUUAAAAAUUCACGUUGUGACGGUAGCUAACCAGAAAGCCACGGCUAACUACGUG
rnacentral:rRNA from 1 species